GGCAAGGCCUGUCCUCACGGGGCUUCCACAACUGCACAUCCUUAGAAACACUUCAUAGAGUAACUCUGGAAUUUUGCUUUAUUCACAGAAAUAAUUUUUAGUUCUGUGAAAAAAGACUACAAGACACUU
rnacentral:snoRNA from 1 species